GUGUUUGGUUUGUUUGGGUUGGUCGGAUCCCUGCUCGCGCAGCGACGACUCGUCCUUCUCACCUCUUCAGUCGUUGUUCCGAGAGCGUCUUGGCCUCGGACCGAAUCGGUUUUCUGUGUUGCGUACCCACGUUGACGGAAUUGUCCCUCGUAUACUCGCCCCUUGUUCGUCUUUCGCCGCUCAGGCGGCGCGAGUCGGACCGCGUAGCGUGCCUCGUUGUCUUUUCUCGCCUUGCGUUUGCGCGGCGCACGAAACGGCCAACGCGGUACGCUCGAAAUCUCGGAUACGGAACCUUCAGCGGUCAAGACGGGGCCUCCGGUCUCGAUUUGCCCAAACUGAUCGCUUCUUACGAACGACUGUCGGCGCUGUCUCGGGACGCGGAUUCCCGUGCGGCGUCGGCGUCGAAGAGGAAUG
rnacentral:misc_RNA from 1 species